ensembl:lncRNA
GUUGCAUGGCGCCUGUUGCAGUGAUACGGCUGAAGUUUGUCCCAGCUCGCUUUCCAUCCCUCAGGCAGCUAGGCUUCACUCAGUGCCUCAAACAGGGAAGAAUCUCCAUCAACACCAGGGGAGUUGUGACUCACUUUGAAGUCUCUGUGUCGCAUUUACACUUAUGAUUAAACUCAAAAACACUGGAAUGUGGAGUUAGUCUGUUCAGCUGGUGUAGCUUAUUCAACAACUUUAACCUCCGAUAUUCAACAAGUAGGACUGCUCUCUCAGCAGCUCGACGCUUUAUACACAAAAGUUGCUCCAGUUUGUCCCUGUGGAGCACUUUGCAGUGAGUACCCUUCUCCUUCGGACAUCUAGGCUUCGAGCAGGCCGUGACUCUGUGGCCAUGAGGAAUCAUGGCGGAGCUGGAGGUGGAUCAGUCUAACCUGCCGCGGGUUCAGGAGGUGUGUAUAUUUCUGCGUCCUCACUGCUGGAAUGUACAAAAGGCUUGACUCAUCUCAGUGUAAUGCUGAACAGACCUGAGCUAAUCCGAGAGCAAGACUUAUGUGCGAAGGCCAGUCGCACAUAGGUGUAGAGCCCUGACUAGCCAGUAGAAAGCGAGGAAAAUCCGGGAGGCGGGUCGGACGAACCUAACAUAAAAACAUCGGGGCACGCGUAAGGAUCUUAGUGAUUUGGACAAGGGCCACAUUGUGAUGGCUAGACGACAUCUCCAAAAUGGCAGGUCUUGUGAGGUG